rnacentral:rRNA from 1 species
AUACAGCGAAACUGCGAAUGGCUCAUUAUAUAAGUUCAUCGUUUAUUUGAUAGUGCCUUACUACUUGGAUAACCGUGGUAAUUCUAGAGCUAAUACAUGCUAAAAACUCCGACUUCGGAAGGGGUGUAUUUAUUAGAUACAAAACCAAUGCCCUUCGGGGCUCUUUGGUGAUUCAUGAUAACUAUACGAAUCGCACGGCCUUGCGCCGGCGAUGGUUCAUUCAAAUUUCUUCCCUAUCAACUUUCGAUGUUUGGGUAUUGGCCAAACAUGGUUGCAACGGGUAACGGAGGGUUAGGGCUCGAUCCCGGAGAAGGAGCCUGAGAAACGGCUACUACAUCCAAGGAAGGCAGCAGGCGCGCAAAUUACCCAAUCCCGACUCGGGGAGGUAGUGACAAUAAAUACUGAUACAGGGCCCUUUCGGGCCUUGUAAUUGGAAUGAGUACAAUUUAAAUCCCUUAACGAGGAACAAUUGGAGGGCAAGUCUGGUGCCAGCAGCCGCGGUAAUUCCAGCUCCAAUAGCGUAUAU